GGAGGUGAAGGAGGAGGGUCAGGUUGCUGGGGUAAAAGGAGUCACCCCUCAUACUUAGCUUCACCUAAUGUAACCGGUGUGAAAUGGCUAGCUAGUUAGCAGGGUGCGCACUAAUAGCGUUUCAAUCGGUGACGUCACUCGCUCUGAGACCUUGAAGUCAUUGUUCCUCUUGCUCUGCAAGGGCAGCGGCUUUUGUGGAGCGAUGGGUAACGAUGCUUCGUGGGAGGCAGUUGUUGAUGUGUGCAGAGCGUCCCUGGUUUGAGGCGAGGAGAGGGAUGGAAGCAGUACUGUUACACUAAGACUGGCCUGUGUGCACAGGGACACGGGUGGUUUCAACUCUGGAGCAUAAGCCCCUCUGAAGCAAACCUUCACUGUUUGUCUGCACUCCAGCCUUGGGAUACACUCACAUUGAGGCGAAGACAGUUACCUGGAAAAGGUCAGCCGUGUUUGUACUACUUAACCGAAUCCACAUGAGUCAAGUGCAAUUAAUGCUUUGUACUUGGUCCUGGAAAGGGAAGUACUAUAGGGGGUGGACACAAGGGUC